GGGGCUGUUCUGGAUUCGACGGGAUUAUGGAAGUUUCAAGGGCAUGUAAAGUUGAAGAGCUUUUAAAAACUUCGAAUAAAUAUAAAUGCAGACAAUGCUUUCUUUGGCCGUUCAAAUAACAACGGCGUUGCUUUAGCAGCUUAAUAACCUGUGUAAAGCCAUCUUCUCCUUACUCCACUAGUAGGUCAUAGGGGAUAUACGAUGCUUAUAAUCUUAUAAACUAGUUAGUGUUUAAAUGCUGAUAGGACGUUUAAACAUGAAAUCUUAUUCUAUCUAGUUAGUUGGGCUUUCGUCUUAUUUACUGCCAGCUAAUGAAAUUACAAAUAAGAAUAAACAUGUAGAACUUGGGAUGGACUGAUUUCGGACAGGGGUUCAAAUCCCCUCAGCUCCACCA
rnacentral:tmRNA from 1 species